rnacentral:tRNA from 1 species
AAAAAUUUAAGUUAAACUAAACUAUUGACCUUCAAAGUCAAACAUAGAAAAUUUUCUAAUUUUUA